UACAGAGGGGGCAAGCGUUGUUCGGAAUUACUGGGCGUAAAGGGCGCGUAGGCGGCCUUCUAAGUCGAACGUGAAAUCCCCGGGCUCAACCCGGGAACUGCGUCCGAUACUGGAAGGCUUGAAUCCGGGAGAGGGAUGUGGAAUUCCCGGUGUAGUGGUGAAAUGCGUAGAUAUCGGGAGGAACACCAGUGGCGAAGGCGACUACCUGGCCCAUUCUUGACGCUGAGGCGCGAAAGCUAGGGGAGCGAACGGG
rnacentral:rRNA from 1 species